UACGGAGGUCUCAAGCGUUGUUCGGAAUCACUGGGCGUAAAGCGUGCGUAGGCUGUUUCGUAAGUCGUGUGUGAAAGGCGCGGGCUCAACCCGCGGACGGCACAUGAUACUGCGAGACUAGAGUAAUGGAGGGGGAACCGGAAUUCUCGGUGUAGCAGUGAAAUGCGUAGAUAUCGAGAGGAACACUCGUGGCGAAGGCGGGUUCCUGGACAUUAACUGACGGCUGAGGCACGAAGGCCAGGGGAGCGAAAGGG
rnacentral:rRNA from 1 species